AACGAACGCUGGCGGCAUGCCUAACACAUGCAAGUCGAACGAGACCUUCGGGUCUAGUGGCGCACGGGUGCGUAACGCGUGGGAACCUGCCCUUGGGUUUGGCAGAACUCCCCGAAAGGGGUGCGAAAACCGGCUAAAGUCCUCGGAACAAAGAUUGAUCGCAGUUGGAUGGGCCUGCGUUGGAUUAGCUAGAUGGUAGGGUAAAAGCGUACAAAGGCGACGAUCCGUAGAUGGUCUGAGAGGAUGCUCAGCCACACUGGGGCUGGGACACGGCCAAGACUCCUACGGGAUGCAGCAGUGGGGAAUAUUGGACUGUGGGCGGAAGCCUGAUCCAGCUAGGCCGCUUGAGUGAUGAAGGCCUUAGGGUUGUAAAGCUCGUUUACCCGGGAUUAUAAUGACAGUACCGAGAGAAUAAGCACCGGCUAACUCCGUG
rnacentral:rRNA from 1 species